rnacentral:rRNA from 1 species
UGUUCCUUGUGCUCACCUGUACACUGUUCUUGAUGUUUCUAACGCAUUGAAUAUUUGCUUAAGGACAAUCGAUCGUGAUACCGAGAACAAAACAGCGUGCUUCAAGCUGGAUCUCCCAGUAGACGACAAAGCUUGUUAUAUCAACGAACCUACCGGUUGAUUGCGAUUUACAGGUUUCUGCAGUCAGUGCGGGGAAUCCGAGCUGGAUCACAUUGAGAACACCUGGCUUGUCUUCGGACAGCUGGAUCAUGUACUCGAAUAGUGUCCUGUUCAAGAUAUUAAUAGGGACCGAUGGAGCUGUCAGUAUUCACAGACGAGGGGUGAAAUCCUUAGACUCUGUGAAGACUAACAACAGCGAAGGCAUUCGGCUAAGAGGCCUUCAUUAAUCAAGAACGAGAGUGCAGGGAUCGAAGAUGAUCAGAUACCGUCGUAGUCUGCUACUGUAAACUAUGCAAACUAGGGAUCAGUUGAUGGUGCAACACAUAUCUGUUGACUCGGUUGGUACCUCUCCUUCUUUUUAACGCGAAAGCUUAAGUCUUCGUGGGGAGUACAGUUGCAAGGCUGAGACUUAAAGGAAUUGACGGAAUGACACCACAAGGCGUGGAUGCUGCGGCUUGAUUUGACUCAACACAGAGAAUGUAACCAGAUCAUGAGGUUGGAGGAUGACAGA